rnacentral:rRNA from 1 species
GUUGUGGUGAUGCGAGAGUCCACCACCCAUGACAUCAUGAGAAGUCCACUGAACCUUAUCAUUUAGAGGAAGGAGAAGUCAUAACAAGGUUUCUGUAGGUGAUCAUUG